UCCGGUUUGGCACCGGCAGUCUCCCAUGAGUCCCCGACAUUACUCGCUGGCAACAUAGGACGGGGGUUGCGCUCGUUGCGCCACUUAAGGCAACACCUCACGGCACGAGCUGACGACAGCCAUGCAGCACCUGUGCGGGCUCCCGAAGGAGCACCGUGUUUCCACGGUUUCACCCCGCAUGUCAAGCCCAGGUAAGGUUCUUCGCGUCGCAUCGAAUUAAGCCACAUGCUCCGCCGCUUGUGCGGGCCCCCGUCAAUUCCUCUGAGUUUUAGCCUUGCGGCCGUACUCCCCAGGCGGGGUGCUUAAUGCGUUAGCGUCGGCACCGCGGGGGUCAAUACCCACGACACCUAGUGCUCAUCGUUUACAGCGUGGACUAC
rnacentral:misc_RNA from 1 species